rnacentral:lncRNA from 1 species
GACACUUUUUACAUUAUUUAAGGUUUUAUCUGUAUUUUAUAUCAGAUAUCACUGCUGUAGCUACAUACCUCUCUCUUUAGCUUUCUCAUCAGACUGAGGGAGAGAAGCUAACCCGCUAAUCAGCUCUUAAAGUGACUGAGCUGUUUUUAAUUUCAUGUUUCAAAUCACAUCAAGUUUUACUCAUUUUAAGAAAAAAGAAAAUAUAAUAAUUUAACAUGAAGCAGAUUUAUAUAUUAUAAAAUAAAUAUUAAAAACUAUGUUUUGACUGUAUUAGCACAGAGUUCACUAAUGCUAGGCUAGUUAGCAGGGCUGUAUUACCCAUUACUCUGCAUUUCUGAAGAAAAUACAGCUUUAUGAGAGUAAAAGGGUUCAAUAAUGUGUACAGUGACCUCUCAAUCACACAGUCUGGACAGAUCUUCAGUUUCAUACAAGACUACCUUCAGUACAAGUCUGGUAAAGAAUCACUUGGUCUGAGUUGCUAUAGUGGCGGGAGCUUCUUUGUCUUCCUCAAGAGCUUCUUCCUCAGUUUUGGGUUUCCUGACCUGAGUGGAGUUCUGUCCAUCAUCCCG